rnacentral:rRNA from 1 species
GAUGAACGCUAGCGGCAGGCUUAAUACAUGCAAGUCGUGGGGCAGCAGGUUUGUAGCAAUACAGAUGCUGGCGACCGGCAAACGGGUGCGGAACACGUACACAACCUUCCUUUAAGUGGGGAAUAGCCCAGAGAAAUUUGGAUUAAUACCCCGUAACACUAUGAUGUGGCAUCACAUUAUAAUUAUAGCUACGGCGCUUAAUGAUGGGUGUGCGGCUGAUUAGGUAGUUGGCGGGGUAACGGCCCACCAAGCCUGCGAUCAGUAACUGGUGUGAGAGCACGACCAGUCACACGGGCACUGAGAAACGGGCCCGACUCCUACGGGAGGCAGCAGUAAGGAAUAUUGGGCAAUGGAGGAAACUCUGACCCAGCCAUGCCGCGUGGAGGAUGAAGGUCCUCUGGAUUGUAAACUUCUUUUAUAUGGGACGAAAAAGGGUCUUUCUAGGUCAACUGACGGUACCAUAUGAAUAAGCACCGGCUAACUCCGUGCCAGCCGCCGCGGUAAGAC